rnacentral:rRNA from 1 species
GAUGAACGCUGGCGGCGUGCCUAAUACAUGCCAGUCGAGCGAACAGACGAGGAGCUUGCUCCUCUGACGUUAGCGGCGGACGGGUGAGUAACACGUGGAUAACCGACAUAUAAGACUGGGAUAACGUCGGGAAACCGGAGCUAAUACAGGAUAAUAUAUUGAACGGCAUGGUUCAAUAGUGAAAGACGGUUUUGCUGUCACUUAUAGAUGGAUCCGAGCCGGAUUAGCUAGUUGGUAAGGUAACGGCCUACCAAGGCAAGGAUGCGUAGCCGACCUGAGAGGGUGAUCAGCCACACUGGCACUGAGACACGGUCCAGACUCCUACGGGAGGCAGCAGUAGGGAAUCUUCCGCAAUGGGCGAAAGCCUGACCGAGCAACGCCGCGUGAGUGAUGAAGGUCUUCGGAUCGUAAAGCUCUGUUAUUAGGGAAGAAAAAAUGUGUAUGUAACUAUUAACGUCUUGACGUUACCUAAUCAGAAAGCCACGGCUAACUACGUG